rnacentral:rRNA from 1 species
GAUGAACGCUAGCUACAGGCUUAACACAUGCAAGUCGAGGGGAAACGGCAUUGAGUGCUUGCACUCUUUGGACGUCGACCGGCGCACGGGUGAGUAACGCGUAUCCAACCUUCCCAUUACUGUGGGAUAACCUGCCGAAAGGCAGACUAAUACCGCAUAGUCUUCGAUGACGGCAUCAGAUUUGAAGUAAAGAUUUAUCGGUAAUGGAUGGGGAUGCGUCUGAUUAGCUUGUUGGCGGGGUAACGGCCCACCAAGGCUACGAUCAGUAGGGGUUCUGAGAGGAAGGUCCCCCACAUUGGAACUGAGACACGGUCCAAACUCCUACGGGAGGCAGCAGUGAGGAAUAUUGGUCAAUGGACGGAAGUCUGAACCAGCCAAGUAGCGUGCAGGAUGACGGCCCUAUGGGUGGUAAACUGCUUUUGGAUGGGGAUAAAGUUAGGGACGUGUCCCUAUUUGCAGGUACCAUACGAAUAAGGACCGGCUAAUUCCGUG